rnacentral:rRNA from 1 species
CUACGGGAGGCUGCAGUGAGGAAUAUUGCACAAUGGGGGGAACCCUGAUGCAGCAACGCAGCGUGGAGGAUGACGCAUUUCGGUGUGUAAACUCCUUUUAUAUGUCAAGAAAAUGACGGUAGCAUAUGAAUAAGCACCGGCUAACUCCGUGCCAGCAGCCGCGGUAAUACGGAGGGUGCAAGCGUUACUCGGAAUCACUGGGCGUAAAGGACGCGUAGGCGGGUUGGAAAGUCAGGUGUGAAAUCCUACAGCUUAACUGUAGAACUGCACUUGAAACUUCUAAUCUAGAGUAUGGGAGGGGGAGAUGGAAUUAGUGGUGUAGGGGUAAAAUCCGUAGAUAUCACUAGGAAUACCUAAAGCGAAGGCGAUCUCCUGGAACAUUACUGACGCUAAGGCAUGAAAGCGUGGGGAGCAAACAGGAUUAGAUACCCCCGUAGUC